CAGACUGCAUCAUUAAAGACAAUACCAAGAUAAGGAAGAAACAUAUUUGUCUUCCCGUAGGUGCAAUUUGUCCCAACAUGAGUAAGCCUGUGAACUAUCGAUGUAGAGCUGAGGAACAUCUUUCAGCAGAACCUGCUGGUCAAUCACGGAUGAAGAGUGACAGGAAAAGGGUAAAAGUGUUACUGACGUCGGCUUUCACUUUGGCACUAGGAGCAGCACUUGUCGCUUUCCUGUUUGGAAUUAUGAGAGAGAUUUGCUGUUAGCAUGCCAUGUUUUAAAAGAAAAAAGUUCUUAUUAUGCUAUUUAUCUGCGGUAUCAACCGGUAAAGUUGCUUUAUUAUUCUGCACUGUUAUAUUCUACAGGGAAAGCUUUUCGAAAGAGAAAUGAGUGAGUAUUAGAUUUAUGGUCGGAGUCAGUACACUUUCAAUUCAGUCAUUCACAAGAUCAGCGGAAAGUAUUUCUGAGAUGUGUGCUGUGAAGAUCAUUCAGGGUCAACGCUCCAUCAUCUGAAUGUGAGAUUCAGUUUUCGUCCAAACCUCUGCUUCCUUUGACGGUAUGAAAAGGAAGGAAAUCAUUUCAGGUGUGAGAUGAAGAGUGCAUAGGGACCGUCAUUGUUUCGAUUUUUGACUGAAAAAGAAGAACUGAUUCGGUUUUAUGGCUUUUGAGUUUUUUGGUUUUAUAUUUUUUUAACAACACAGGAAUAAGCUCAGGUUAUCCUGGCCAUGACUUAAAUCCACCAAACCUGUGAUGUAUUGUAUGAUUUUAUUAAACCAUUCAUAUCCGGUACAG